CUGGUAACUGAAGCCCUGGUGAACGGCGGCCGUAACAAUAACGGUCCUAAGGUAGCGAAAUUCCUUGUCGGGUAAGUUCCGACCUGCACGAAUGGCGUAACGAUGGCCACACUGUCUCCUCCUGAGACUCAGCGAAGUUGAAAUGUUUGUGAUGAUGCAAUCUCCCCGCGGAAAGACGGAAAGACCCCAUGAACCUUUACUGUAGCUUUGCAUUGGACUUUGAACCAAUCUGUGUAGGAUAGGUGGGAGGCUUUGAAGCGUGGACGCCAGUUCGCGUGGAGCCAACCUUGAAAUACCACCCUGGUUUGUUUGAGGUUCUAACCUUGGUCCGUUAUCCGGAUCGGGGACAGUGCAUGGUAGGCAGUUUGACUGGGGCGGUCUCCUCCUAAAGAGUAACGGAGGAGUACGAAGGUGCGCUCAGACCGGUCGGAAAUCGGUCGUAGAGUAUAAAGGCAAAAGCGCGCUUAACUGCGAGACCCACAAGUCGAGCAGGUACGAAAGUAGGUCUUAGUGAUCCGGUGGUUCUGUAUGGAAGGGCCAUCGCUCAACGGAUAAAAGGUACUCUGGGGAUAACAGGCUGAUACCGCCCAAGAGUUCAUAUCGACGGCGGUGUUUGGCACCUCGAUGUCGGCUCAUCUCAUCCUAGGGCUGAAGCAGGUCCUAAGGGUAUGGCUGUUCGCCAUUUAAAGAGGUACGUGAGCUGGGUUUAAAACGUCGUGAGACAGUUCGGUCCCUAUCUACCGUGGGCGUUGGAAAUUUGAGAGGAUCUGCUCCUAGUACGAGAGGACCAGAGUGGACGAACCUCUGGUGUUCGGGUUGUCACGCCAGUGGCAUUGCCGGGUAGCUAAGUUCGGAAGAGAUAACCGCUGAAAGCAUCUAAGCGGGAAGCCCACCUCAAGAUUAGAUUUCCCUAAAGAGCCGUUCAAGACUAGGACGUUGAUAGGCAGGGUGUGGAAGCACAGCGAUGUGUGUAGCUAACCUGUACUAAUUGCUCGUU
rnacentral:rRNA from 16 species